rnacentral:rRNA from 1 species
CUCCAAGGAAUUGACGGGGCCGCACAAGCGGAGGAGCAUGUGGUUUAAUUCGAUGAUACGCGAGGAACCUUACCUGGGCUCGAACGUAAGAUGACUGUAGGUGAAAGCUUACAUCUCUUCGGAGCAUUUUACGAGGUGCUGCAUGGUUGUCGUCAGCUCGUGCCGUGAGGUGUCGGGUUAAGUCCCAUAACGAGCGCAACCCCUACCUUUAGUUGCCAUCAGGUUAAGCUGGGGACUCUAAAGGAACUGCCUACGCAAGUAGUGAGGAAGGCGGGGAUGACGUCAAAUCAGCACGGCCCUUACGUCCAGGGCUACACACGUGCUACAAUGGCCGAUACAGAGGGCAGCUACCUGGUGACAGGAUGCAAAUCUCCAAAGUCGGUCUCAGUUCGGAUCGGAGUCUGCAACCCGACUCCGUGAAGUUGGAUUCGCUAGUAAUCGCGCAUCAGCCAUGGCGCGGUGAAUACGUUCCCGGGCCUU